AAUCAACGCUGGCGGCGCGCCUAACACAUGCAAGUCGAACGAGAAAGUGGAGCAAUCCAUGAGUAAAGUGGCGUACGGGUGAGUAACACGUGGAUCAUCUACCUUUUAGUGGGGAAUACCGUUGGGAAACCGACGACAAUACCGCAUAAGCUCGAGAGAGGAAAGCAGCAAUGCGCUGAAAGAGGAGUCCGCGGCCGAUUAGCUAGUUGGUAGGGUAAUGGCCUACCAAGGCUGUGAUCGGUAGCCGGCCUGAGAGGGCACACGGCCACACUGGCACUGAAACACGGGCCAGACUCCUACGGGAGGCAGCAGUGGGGAAUCUUGCACAAUGGGGGCAACCCUGAUGCAGCGACGCCGCGUGAGCGAUGAAGCCCUUCGGGGUGUAAGCUCUUUCGGCAGGGAAGAUUAUGACGGUACCUGCAGAAGCAGCUGCGGCUAACUACGUGCCAGCAGCCGCAGUAAG
rnacentral:rRNA from 1 species